CGUGUAUUGGAGUCUGUUUGUUUUCGUACGCUGCAGCAAGCAACCAGACACAAGUCAAGGGUAGCGAAUGAUCAACACUCUGGCACAAAGCUGCCACUCCAGAGCCAGUGUUGGAAAAUUAAAAAAAAAACGUUCUUGAAAAUAAACAAAACAAUCUAAAAAUGGAAGAAACC